AGCGUACACGGUGGAUGCCCUGGCAGUCAGAGGCGAUGAAGGACGUGCUAAUCUGCGAAAAGCGUCGGUAAGGUGAUAUGAACCGUUAUAACCGGCGAUGUCCGAAUGGGGAAACCCAGUGCAAUUCGUUGCACUAUCGUUAACUGAAUACAUAGGUUAACGAGGCGAACCGGGGGAACUGAAACAUCUAAGUACCCCGAGGAAAAGAAAUCAACCGAGAUUCCCCCAGUAGCGGCGAGCGAACGGGGAGCAGCCCAGAGUCUGAAUCAGCUUGUGUGUUAGUGGAACGGUCUGGAAAGUCCGACGGUACAGGGUGAUAGUCCCGUACACCAAAAUGCACAGGUUGUGAACUCGAAGAGUAGGGCGGGACACGUGGUAUCCUGUCUGAAUAUGGGGGGACCAUCCUCCAAGGCUAAAUACUCCUGACUGACCGAUAGUGAACCAGUACCGUGAGGGAAAGGCGAAAAGAACCCCGGCGAGGGGAGUGAAAAAGAACCUGAAACCGUGUACGUACAAGCAGUGGGAGCACCUUCGGGUGUGACUGCGUACCUUUUGUAUAAUGGGUCAGCGACUUAUAUUCUGUAGCAAGGUUAACCGUAUAGGGGAGCCGCAGGGAAACCGAGUCUUAACUGGGCGUUAAGUUGCAGGGUAUAGACCCGAAACCCGGUGAUCUAGCCAUGGGCAGGUUGAAGGUUGGGUAACACUAACUGGAGGACCGAACCGACUAAUGUUGAAAAAUUAGCGGAUGACUUGUGGCUGGGGGUGAAAGGCCAAUCAAACCGGGAGAUAGCUGGUUCUCCCCGAAAGCUAUUUAGGUAGCGCCUCGUGAAUUCAUCUUCGGGGGUAGAGCACUGUUUCGGCUAGGGGGUCAUCCCGACUUACCAACCCGAUGCAAACUACGAAUACCGAAGAAUGUUAUCACGGGAGACACACGGCGGGUGCUAACGUCCGUCGUGAAGAGGGAAACAACCCAGACCGCCAGCUAAGGUCCCAAAGUCAUGGUUAAGUGGGAAACGAUGUGGGAAGGCACAGACAGCCAGGAUGUUGGCUUAGAAGCAGCCAUCAUUUAAAGAAAGCGUAAUAGCUCACUGGUCGAGUCGGCCUGCGCGGAAGAUGUAACGGGGCUAAACCAUGCACCGAAGCUGCGGCAGCGACACUAUGUGUUGUUGGGUAGGGGAGCGUUCUGUAAGCCUGCGAAGGUGUGCUGUGAGGCAUGCUGGAGGUAUCAGAAGUGCGAAUGCUGACAUAAGUAACGAUAAAGCGGGUGAAAAGCCCGCUCGCCGGAAGACCAAGGGUUCCUGUCCAACGUUAAUCGGGGCAGGGUGAGUCGACCCCUAAGGCGAGGCCGAAAGGCGUAGUCGAUGGGAAACAGGUUAAUAUUCCUGUACUUGGUGUUACUGCGAAGGGGGGACGGAGAAGGCUAUGUUAGCCGGGCGACGGUUGUCCCGGUUUAAGCAUGUAGGCUGGUUGUCCAGGCAAAUCCGGAUAAUCAAGGCUGAGGUGUGAUGACGAGGCACUACGGUGCUGAAGUAACAAAUGCCCUGCUUCCAGGAAAAGCCUCUAAGCAUCAGGUAACAUCAAAUCGUACCCCAAACCGACACAGGUGGUCAGGUAGAGAAUACCAAGGCGCUUGAGAGAACUCGGGUGAAGGAACUAGGCAAAAUGGUGCCGUAACUUCGGGAGAAGGCACGCUGGUGUGUAGGUGAAGUCCCUGCGGAUGGAGCUGAGACCAGUCGAAGAUACCAGCUGGCUGCAACUGUUUAUUAAAAACACAGCACUGUGCAAACACGAAAGUGGACGUAUACGGUGUGACGCCUGCCCGGUGCCGGAAGGUUAAUUGAUGGGGUUAUCCGUAAGGAGAAGCUCUUGAUCGAAGCCCCGGUAAACGGCGGCCGUAACUAUAACGGUCCUAAGGUAGCGAAAUUCCUUGUCGGGUAAGUUCCGACCUGCACGAAUGGUGUAAUGAUCUGGACACUGUCUCAACCGUGAGCUCAGUGAAAUUGUAGUAUCGGUGAAGAUGCCGAUUACCCGCGAUGGGACGAAAAGACCCCGUGAACCUUUACUAUAGCUUAUCAUUGAAUCUGGGCACGUGAUGUGUAGGAUAGGUCGGAGGCUUUGAAGCAGGUACGCCAGUAUUUGUGGAGCCGCUGUUGAAAUACGACCCUUUAUUUGUUUGGAUUCUAACCCGUGGAUACGGGGACAUUGAUUGGUGGGUAGUUUGACUGGGGUGGUCGCCUCCAAAAGCGUAACGGAGGCUUCUAAAGGUGCCCUCCGGCCGAUUGGUAACCGGCCUUAGAGUGUAAUGGCAUAAGGGCGCUUGACUGGGAGACUGACAAGUCGAUCAGGUAGGAAACUAGAGCAUAGUGAUCCGGUGUUUCCGUAUGGAAGGGACAUCGCUCAAAGGAUAAAAGGUACUCCGGGGAUAACAGGCUGAUCCCUCCCAAGAGCUCAUAUCGACGGAGUGGUUUGGCACCUCGAUGUCGGCUCGUCACAUCCUGGGGCUGGAGAAGGUCCCAAGGGUUGGGCUGUUCGCCCAUUAAAGUGGCACGCGAGCUGGGUUCAGAACGUCGUGAGACAGUUCGGUCUCUAUCUAUCGUGGGCGUAUGAAAUUUGCGUGGCUCUGACACUAGUACGAGAGGACCGUGUUGGACAGACCUCUGGUUUGCCGGUUGUGCCGCCAGGUGCAUUGCCGGGUAUCUAAGUCUGGAUCGGAUAAGUGCUGAAAGCAUCUAAGUACGAAGCCGGCCACAAGAUUAGAUUUCUCAGGGUCGUUGU
rnacentral:rRNA from 1 species